rnacentral:rRNA from 1 species
GUUUGAUCCUGGCUCAGGAUGAACGCUGGCGGCGUGCUUAACACAUGCAAGUCGAACGGAAAGGCCAGUGCUUGCACUGGUACUCGAGUGGCGAACGGGUGAGUAACACGUGAGUAACCUGCCCUUGACUUUGGGAUAACUUCAGGAAACUGGGGCUAAUACCGGAUAGGAGCUCCUGCUGCAUGGUGGGGGUUGGAAAGUUUCGGCGGUUGGGGAUGGACUCGCGGCUUAUCAGCUUGUUG